GGUACCCGGCGGCGCCGCUUCCGUGUUCCCGCCCGGAGAGAGCGGGUGGGGGCAACAUCCUCGCCGGCCGGGCGCCGUGACAAAGGGCCGGGCCCGCGCCCCCGCCGCGGCUCACACAAAGCGGGCAGGGCUCGGCGCGUUACCGUGGAACGGGAGGCAGAGGGCACAAGACAAGGCAUAGGAUCAUAUUGGCAGUGACUUGUUGCCCUGAAACGUGACAAGUGCAGCUCGACUUGGGCUGGCCAGCAAUGGGCCCAGAGCUUCCACAUGAGGAAAGCCCAAAUUCCUGUGGGAGGAGGUUGGCCCACCCCAGCAGCACAGAUGAGAGGUGCCAUGCUCAAGCAGGAAACGGACUUAACUUUGCAGUGAA